AGCGCCAGCACCACCGUCUGCGGUGGCCGGAAAAAGGAAAACUCCUUAUUCGGCCUUCUCGGCCCCCCUUAACUCGAAUCCGGGCUCAAAUCCUUCGAAAAUUGACGAAAAAUACCCUAAAAAAUCAAGAAACCUUUCGGUUUCCGGCCACCGAUCCUUGGGGGUGGCUCCCUCGAUCUACCAAACGGUGUGACAGAUCCGAAUGAAGGUGA
rnacentral:lncRNA from 1 species